UCCGUCCACCACGAGGAAUCGAAUACCGGAUUAUUCUUAAAGUUGUAAGUCUGUAAACUUACCAUUAGAACUUACCCAACAGAAGAUAAUUUCGAUGGAAAAAUUAAGUUUAUAUCGAGAGAGGAAUAUGACGAUCAAAUGUGCUUGAGCUAACACAAAAGGAUGUACUUGACGUAUCUGGUAAAGAAAGAAUCCUAUAGGUGGCGUUCAGAAAAGAAGAGACCAUAUUUGAAGAAAGUAUUAUGUUUGCAUCAGUGAUUUGCUGGAGGAAUACAACGUGACGUUAUGAAUUUCGGACACCUUAACAUUUGGUCGGUAUUCACGCGCCCGCAGUCCUAAAUCGAGAACGAGGCUUUUGUGCAAACAAAAAACAAUGGCGUCGUUUCACAGUUGUUUGUAUUCCGAUGUGCAUUAAUAAUGCACGAUACAACAAAUCUCUCGUUCAGCAGCUUUUCUACAGAUGCUAACAGAAGGAAACAGCAGCUUUCCAAAAUCCGACGUGAUGAAAGACCUCUGUUUUUGGCUUACUUCAACAACAAACUGUCCUGUGGCUAGACAAACUUCAUCAACAAGCAGUCACGUGACAGGUAGUCAAGCAGCCUGUGGAUAGACUAACUUUAUCAACAAGCAGUCCUGUAGCUAGGCUCUCUUCAUCAACAAGCAGUCACGUGACAGGUAGUAAACAAGCAGUCCUGUGGAUAGACUAACUUCAUCAACAAGCAGUUCUGUAGCUAUGCUCUCGUCAUCAACAAGCAGUCACGUGACAGGUUGUAAACAAGCAGUCCCGUGUCUGGAUUUAUUUACAUCGAUCUGUUAUGUAUCAUCACAAAAUCAGGCAUCUUAGCUGUUUCUGUUGUACACAGAGUAAGUCACCUGGUAACCAGCUGUUCGUAGAUUUGUUACAAAAAUAGAUUUUCACUGAUUAUAAAUCCA